AUCAAGAAUUUUAAUGGCUCCGUUCUCUCUCUUCCUUCCUGUCUUGUUCCACAUUGCAUGAUUCAUUGUGGAGCGGGAGAGGCCACGCCUGCGCUCUCUGCUGGUGUCGGUGGUGGGCACCCUCGGCUUAAGAGAGGGAUAAAGGCAUGUUGGCGGUGUUUUUGCAGAGCAGCAAAUGCAGAUGGAGUGGGAAACUCUGCUUUUUGUGAGUCAUGCGCAGUUAAAAGUGCACUUUGCUCUGGGGGAGGCUGCAGAUUGUAGUGAAUCAUCCAUUCUUCUGAAGUUGCGAGUGCACUGGGGUCGAGGCUGUUGAAUUACAUGUGACACCAGUCACGGCUCUUAUGAUUGCGGCAUGCCGGAAAUUUGCAGUCUAUAAUCACACCAUGGAGCGGUAUGAUGUCAUCGUUGUUUGGUUCUGUGUAAGAAUGCAAAGGAGGCAUAAAGAAGGGACUUCAUAGCGGCCCUAUAGCGUGAUCUCUUUGUAAAAAAGGUGUAUGUAUACGCCCUGUGAUAGUCUGGCGACCUGACCCUUAACAGGAUAAGCUAUUACGAAUAAUGAAUGCAUGAAUAAAAACAAACUCUACAGCUUC